rnacentral:lncRNA from 1 species
CCGAGCUUCUACAGCAGAUGACUUUCGCCUGCAGCAUCAGCGCCCAAGGCACCCGACAAUAGUGGACUCAUCAGCAACCUCAAAAACAUUCGAGCUUCUCUUAGAUUACAGAGACAGAGAGCCAUUCCACUCCAUCAGACAUCCCAGCUAAGCUUUAGUCAUCAGGCCCGAACUCUUUGGCAAGUCGCGAUAAUGGCCACUACCUC